CCUACGGGUGGCUGCAGUGGGGAAUAUUGGACAAUGGGGGGAACCCUGAUCCAGCCAUGCCGCGUGUGUUAAGAAGGCCCUCGGGUUGUAAAGCACUUUCAGUGAGGAAGAACGCCUGGUGGUUAAUACCCAUCAGGAAAGACAUCACUCACAGAAGAAGCACCGGCUAACUCCGUGCCAGCAGCCGCGGUAAUACGGAGGGUGCGAGCGUUAAUCGGAAUUACUGGGCGUAAAGCGCGCGUAGGUGGCUUGAUAAGCCGGUUGUGAAAGCCCCGGGCUCAACCUGGGAACGGCAUCCGGAACUGUCAAGCUAGAGUGCAGGAGAGGAAGGUAGAAUUCCCGGUGUAGCGGUGAAAUGCGUAGAGAUCGGGAGGAAUACCAGUGGCGAAGGCGGCCUUCUGGACUGACACUGACACUGAGGUGCGAAAGCGUGGGUAGCAAACAGGAUUAGAUACCCUAGUAGUC
rnacentral:rRNA from 1 species